AAGUCGUAACAAGGUUUCCGUAGGUGAACCUGCGGAAGGAUCAUUAACACGUUUCCAAACGUAUCAACCAAACCGGUUAAAUGUUUAAACCCCUACCUAUAUGGGUAAGCCGUCAUUUCGGACCUUUAGUGAUGGGUGAUCAUUGGAACUUCGGUUCCUUGAUCACGAAGGAAUGAAUGACCGGAGUACGGCUCGAGGCUUCCCUUAUAGGCUUUUUUUCUAAGUCAUUUAAUCUUCCUCCAUCAUUGGGGAUUAAAUGCAAAACCUUAACCCUUCUAACCCUAUGAAUUUUCAACCUGUCUAAUAGCUUCUGAACGAAGAAAUUUGUUUGGAAUUGUAUAUAUCAACUUAUGUACAACUCUUAGCAAUGGAUAUCUUGGUUCUC
rnacentral:misc_RNA from 1 species